rnacentral:rRNA from 1 species
GACGAACGCUGGCGGCGUGCUUAACACAUGCAAGUCGAACGGAAAGGCCCUGCUUUUGUGGGUUGCUCAAGUGUCGAACGGGUGAGUAACACGUGAGUAACCUGCCCUUGACUUUGGGAUAACUUCAGGAAACUGGGGCUAAUACCGGAUAGGAGCUCCUGCUGCAUGGUGGGGGUUGGAAAGUUUCGGCGGUUGGGGAUGGACUCGCGGCUUAUCAGCUUGUUGGCGGGGUAGCGGCUUACCAAGGCUUUGACGGGUAGCCGGCCUGAGAGGGUGACCGGCCACAGAGGGACAGAGAUACGACCAAGACGGAUACGGGAGGCAGGAGUGGGAAAUAUAGCGAGAAGGGCGGAGGCAUGAAACAGCAACGUCGCGUGCGGGAGGACGGUCGUAGGGUUGUAAACCGUGUUAGACUGUAACGAAGAGUGAGUGACGGUAAUGGAUAAAGAAGCAACGGCUAACUACGUG